rnacentral:lncRNA from 1 species
AAUAGAUGACAUUUGAUUUCAGAGAGCAAAAUAUCCCCAUUCCCAUAGAAAUCAAACCUCAAAUAAAAUUGUUGAAUACUGAUAUAAAAUAGUAAAUAAGCGAUUUGUACAGGUACGGCUUCACGUUCGGUUCAAGUAUAAAUGUGACGGAGCAGUGCUCUGAAUCAAUCUACGCAGCUUAAUCGAAUGGUUUCACAAUUCAUAACAGAUCCAGCUUAAUCGAAUGGUUUCACAAUUCAUAACAGAUCCAGAGCGAAGAACACCUCCAAUCCUAAACCCUAAAUAUAUCGCUCAAUUACAACCCUUAACCCUAACCUAAACCCUAAUUUUAGUACCUGGAUGCCGGCGGAGGUGGCUCGUCCUCCUCGGCGGCCGCCUCCUCCGUGAGAGCGGUACCAGUGGAGGACGACCCCUCUGAUGAAGCGGUCGCGGUGGUCAAAACAGGAGGAGCCGGUGGGGUGCGAGGGCGAGGUGGUGGCGGCGGUGGCGGUGGCGGUGGUAGGGACCUCGUCUUCUUCUUCGCCUUAGCCCUCUCCGACUGUUCUUGCUGAAACUUCAUGGUGUCGUACCAACGAGAACGCCGAGAUGAGCCGCCCAUCUUCCCGUCGUCGAUCUAUAGUGUUGUGGUCAUCUUUAUAGGGAGGUGAAAUCUACACACCUUUUAGUUAGCAAAAAGUCAAAACUGCCAUUCCCUUUUAUAUGACAGUGGGGUACAUUAUAGGGGCAUUUUUGACAUUGUAAAUCCAAUGUAGCACCCAUUAGUGCAUACGAAAUGUAUUUGAAUCGAUUCACUUGGAGUAUCCUAUUUUCACGCAAUUCACAUUUUACGAGGUUCAACAAGCAAUUAGUACAUAAAUUGAUACAAGAUGAUAGUUUGAAAGUGACAGAGUUGCCUUGACUACAAAACCAUAUAUACGCACCCCCCCCCCCCCCCCCCCUGUAUUCUUGGGCAUUCAUCAACCGCUGAUAUGUGGCCCCUGUAUUCUUGGGCCAAAGGGGUAUCACUUGAUAGCAGUAGAAAACCUUGUCUGUUGUGAAGGAUGUGUGCUCUUCGUCCGCGACAUCCAUUUUGAUUUAAUCGUACCCAAAGUAAGCGUCCUUGAAACUUAGCAUUUCAAACCUUGUUGAAUCAACCAGCUGAUCUAUACGGGGCAACAUGAAGCUAUCCAUAGGCCCCAUUUUAUUGAUCGAGGUUUGUAUAGUCCCUGCACAUCCUCCAUUGUCAUGUUGCUUUCUUUGGAACCAUGACUAUGUACAUUGGCCAGCCACCAGGGAUAUCUUACUUCAUCGCUCACAAGUCUUGCACGUGGACGCAAGUCUUGCACGUGAACAAGCAUGCUCCUGAUGUUGGCUACAAGAUGCACGUUUCUCUGUCUAUAACUCACAUGCUCAGGUAUCUACGAACCUCUAGUCCUAACUAGAAUCUCAAUUACAUUGGCUAUGGAUCCUAACUUAGAGCGUCGAAGAGGUAAACCCAAAUCUGUCUCGGAGCCUUUCUGACUGCUCCUUGUUAUCUUGCAUGAAUCCAAACAGGAACCUCAACGAAAGCAUUCUCAUACUUAACAUAGUCUCACUAAGAGAAAUUCAUGUAUCCACAACCGCCUCGUCUCUUCGUUGACAAUCUGAUGGGAAUGAUUUGUGCUAUACUAGGAUCAGUGGAUGCGGUUAACAAAUAAGUGUGGGUUAAUUACGUGAAGGGAGGGUCGGGGUUCAUAUUCUCCAUCACAUGUCAUUCAGGGUUUAACAAGUUCUCCUGCAUCAAGUUCUUGAUGUACAUGGUAUUGAGGUGUCAGUGAGAUCCAAGUGUGAUGCUUUGUCACACCCCAACUCGAAAAAAAAAAUGGUUCUUUUCUGAGUAAGGAUGUGAAUAACUUCAACUUGUCAAGGAUAAGAGAGCUUUGGACAAGUAAAAGUUAAAUGAAAACCUUUGAAUCAGAGGUAACUUAAUGAAGGAGUAAACUUUAUUUCAUAAAUAUUGUUCUUACAACAACCAGGAAAGAAAUCUUAUAGAUUAAGCCUUAUUACAUAAAUAGAAAUUUAAAAACAGCCAGCCAUAGUUUACUCCUCCUAGACUUCAUCCCUUCUAGGUAUUAAGUUUUUAUCCCUCAAAGAGUAACAUCUGCACAAAUUCAUAAAGGGGUGAGCUAUAAACUCAGUAGAAAAAAUCUCAUGUCAUUUCAAUAAACAAAUAGUGUAUGCACAUAUAUAUAUAUAGGUUAAGUUUUCAAAUUGGUACUCUUGUACUAUCCUUGGUCACCAGUGUCUUCUUGCCAUAAUAGAGAUCAUUUUAUCAAUUUGAAAUUGAAAGGGCUUAUCUCCCUAUUUGUAUACAAAAGACUGACAUAGCUGGUCCAUUUCAAGUGACAGACUCAACCCCAUAACUUCAUUCAUUUCUUAUUCAACAUAAGAUCAAAUAAUAAUAUGAUGUUGAACUAAACAUAAUAACCAUCUUUAACAAACAACAUGCACAAUUCCAAAGUAAGAUAACAAGAUUAAAAAAACAAAGAGAUUCCCCAUAACUUC